rnacentral:rRNA from 1 species
UACAGAGGUCUCAAGCGUUGUUCGGAUUCAUUGGGCGUAAAGGGUGCGUAGGCGGCCAGAUAAGUCCGGUGUGAAAGUCAAAGGCUCAACCUUUGAAUGCCGCUGGAAACUGUCUGGCUAGAGUCCGGGAGGGGCGAGUGGAAUUCCUGGUGUAGCGGUGAAAUGCGCAGAUAUCAGGAGGAACACCAAUGGCGAAGGCAGCUCGCUGGAACGGUACUGACGCUGAGGCGCGAAAGCGUGGGGAGCAAACAGG